rnacentral:rRNA from 1 species
UACGGAGGGUGCAAACGUUGCUCGGAAUCAUUGGGCGUAAAGCGCACGUAGCGGUCUCGUAAGUCGGGUGUGAAAGCCCCAGGCUCAACCUGGGAAGUGCAUUCGAAACUGCGAGGCUUGAAUACUGGAGAGGGUCGCGGGAAUUCCCGGUGUAGAGGUGAAAUUCGUAGAUAUCGGGAGGAACACCAGUGGCGAAGGCGGCGACCUGGACAGGAUAUUGACGCUGAGGUGCGAAAAGCGUGGGGGAGCAAACAGG